rnacentral:rRNA from 1 species
UGGGGAAUAUUGGGCAAUGGGCGAAAGCCUGACCCAGCAACGCCGCGUGAGGGAAGAAGGGUUUCGGCUCGUAAACCUCUGUCCUAUGGGACGAAAGAGAUGACGGUACCAUAGGAGGAAGCCCCGGCUAACUACGUGCCAGCAGCCGCGGUAAUACGUAGGGGGCGAGCGUUGUCCGGAAUGAUUGGGCGUAAAGGGCGCGUAGGCGGCCCGUUAAGUCUGGAGUGAAAGUCCUGCUUUCAAGGUGGGAAUUGCUUUGGAAACUGUUGUUCUUGAGUGUCGGAGAGGAAAGCGGAAUUCCUAGUGUAGCGGUGAAAUGCGUAGAUAUUAGGAGGAACACCAGUGGCGAAGGCGGCUUUCUGGACGAUAACUGACGCUGAGGCGCGAAAGUGUGGGGAGCAAACAGGAUUAGAUACCCUGGUAGU